CAAAUUAUCCCACAAUACAUGUCCUCAUAUUUUCUGCGUGGGCCGAUGUGAAAGACCCUGGUGACACGCAGGCCACAUGUUGUCCCCCCUCCAUUACUGUGUGUGUACGUAUGUGAUUCUGUGUGUAUUACUGUAUAACUAUGAGCGCGUAUAUGUCAAUAAUGAGGGAAUGAUAACAUUUAUGCUAGAGACCAGUUCUUGCUCUGCUUAAGUGUGCUCUAAACACGAGAGCCACAGUACCACUCAUCACUUACUGAGGUGUUCUCAGUAGAUGUCUUCAGGUGUUUCUUCAAGAUGGGGAGGGAUUCUGCAGACCGUAGGGAGUCUGGACUGUGAAUGACAGCCACGCAGUAUGAAUAUAUCAGUGUGUACAUUACUCCGUGUGCGUGUGCUUGAGUGCGUUCGUGAGUCUGUGUGCAGUAGAAGAAAAACAUUUCCUUACACUGAUGGUAUCGGAGUGCACGCUGAUAAUUGGUCAGAAUGAUCACAGUUGACGUUGUUUUUCCAGCUGGUAGAGCAAAGAAGAAGGCUAAGUCCAGACGCCGGGGAAGCCGUCAGAGAGUAACAAUGGUCACCAUCUCUGAACGGGACCCUGGACUCUCUGAGGAACCUGAGGACACGUCUUUGGACCGGGAGGAGACCAGGAAGAGAAGAUUUGCUCUAUGGUUUCACAUCACUGUCAUUGUGAGCAUCGGACCGCUGAGUAUUCUCCUCAUCUCCCUGCGCUUCAACUCACCGUCACCCUGGAGGGAGGGGAGAGAGCACUUACUCAGUGAGGGUUUUAUCAAAGUUAUUAAAUGAAUCGCGUCAUUAACAUUCAUUUGAAAAACACCCUCUGCUUCUGUGAUUCAUAUUGUGGUCUACUAAGGUCAGGUUUCUAUUGUCGUCUUUAAGGUAAUGCUUCUAUGUGGUCUGUUAAGGUCAGGUCUCAGGGUUGUGUGUCCGUAACCAAGACCGUAAGAUAAGCAGUUCUCUGUUUGUUCAGGAUGUUCUUUUACAUUCAACAGAUGAAUUGACACUUCAGGGCUGGAUGUUUCACGACAAGAGUCUCUACCGUGUUUCUACUACUAAGAAGGGCUGGAGGGCCAGUAGAGAAGACUGUCAGAAGAGAAAGGCAGACCUGGUGGUCAUCAACAGCAGAGAAGAACUGGUGUGUGUGUGUGUGUGUGUGUGUGUGUGUGUGUGUGUGUGUGUGUGUGUGUGUGUGUGUGUGUGUGUGUGUGUGUGUGUGUGUGUGUGUGUGUGUGUCAGGCCUGUCCUUUGUGGCUCCAGCCUUCAUGAGGAGAGAACACGCUAGAACAGACAGAAUAGUGAAUUAGAACGGAAAAGUACAUAGUGGGAAUGUAUAAUGUAAUAAGAAAAGCACAAGCAAACAGAGUGGUCUUCACUUCGCAUCUGUCGUUUUCACACUCCAAAUGCAAGAUUAUAGAGGUGCGGUUUGAGCUUUCCUUUGAAUAGCUCCACAGAGUCAGCUUCCCUGAUCACUGAUGGCAGCCUAUUCCAUAGGAAGGGGGCUCGAUAGGCAAACGCUCUCUGUCCAGCCGAUUUAUUUUUAACCUUCGGCAAUGAAAGAAGGCCGGCUCCCGAAGACCGGAGGGACCGAGAAGGACUAUAAGGCCUACAAUUUCUUUUGUUUGGUUCCGGUUUCCGAAAAACCCUGUCAAUUUAUGUGGGACCCAAAUUAUUUUAUGAGAAAAAAAAAAAAGUUUUUUUUUUUUUUUUUUAAUGCAAACUAUAAUUACGUUUUGGUACAGCACCUCUUCAUUCUGUACAAGGAUGAGCGAAUUUUCUCGUUCUUAAAUGAAAACAACCUACCUAUCAUUCGCUGCCGCUGGAAAAAAUAAAAUAAAAAAAUAUAAUAAAUUCCCUACCUACCCAUGACCUCUACUGACAACCAACAGGAACCAAACUUUUUUUUUUUUUAGGCCUAAUUACAAGCUGUGCGUUAGCUAGCUCUGUGUGUAUUUUGCAUACCGUGUUCCCUUUGACACAGCCUCCACUACAAGCAUGAUCAGUCUGACAUUAGAAGAGCAUGUUUCGUGAUUCACGAAUAUGAGCCAAAACAAAAUUGCCCUGAAGUAAAUGUCCAUAUCGUCAUGAAAGCUUCAUGGCUAGUGUUUGGAUCAGUGAUCGUCAUCAUCAAGCGGCUUUCACAACAGUGUGUUUGCGUUUUGUGUUAGUGCUAGACUGCUACGGUUCUCUUUCACAUAUAUUUGACCGUGACCGUGUCGCCAGGGCUGUAGUGGACGCUAAACGCAAGUAAACGCAGUUACCCACCUCUGAAAUUUCAGAAACAGAGUUUAUCCACUUCUCACUUCAGAGUUUAGCUACCUCCCAAUACAGCAAAUACACUACCCUUGGUUGCGAAUCACUGAUCUAAGUAUUCAUAGUUUACCCACCGCUUAUGUCACCACUACACCCUUGCAUUUCUUUUUUAUAUACUUGUAUAUACUAUACUUUAUACUAAUAUACUUUUUUAUAUUUGUUUUCGCAAGAUGUUGACAGACGCCUCACAGCAGGAGACCGUGGCCAGUGUAGACACUGUGGAGAGUGUCGAUACUGGGGAUCAGCCCUUGCCCUCCUCCACUUCUGACGCUGGGACACAAUGUUAUUUGAAGCCCCCCGAUGGUCUCACGGUAAAUCUUUGGUAUUUUAAGGGGUAGAUAUUAUGUCUAAAACAUUGCAAGCAGGAAAUUUCCAUACACAUUGAUGAAAUUAAUACAUAGCCUACACCAAAACAUAGCCGCUUAGAUUUGCCAUGAUUGUCAUAUGUUUGGGUAUGUUUACUGCCUCUGCCACAGCUGUGCAGGGGCCCGUUUCAGAAAGCAGGUUUAGUGAAAACUCUGAGUUAGUUAACCCUGAGAUGAGGGAAACUCUGGUUUUUCAGUUUCACAAAGCCAGUUCAGCUUUACUCUGAGUCAGUUACCCUGGCAACAUACUCCGUGAACCUAACCUGCUCGCUGGCAGGUUUUCUUCAACUAACCCCGAGUUUCUCCUGCUCUUAAGUUGAAGCCUGCAGACUGAAGGCAGUGGCAGACAUGGCGUGUCCUUUUAUUGAAGAGCCAGUUGAU
rnacentral:lncRNA from 1 species